GACGAGGGGUCCAAGCGUUGUUCGGAAUCAUUGGGCGUAAAGCGGGUGUAGGUGGCUCUAUAAGUCAGAAGUGAAAGCCCCGGGCUUAACCCGGGAAGUGCUUUUGAUACUGCAGAGCUUGAAUGUGGGAGAGGGUAGUGGAAUUCCAGGUGUAGUGGUGAAAUGCGCAGAUAUCAGGAGGAACACCAAUGGCGAAGGCAGCACUCUGGGACGUGACUGACGCUGAGACGCGAAAGCGUGGGGAGCAAACAGG
rnacentral:rRNA from 1 species